ensembl:misc_RNA Metazoa_SRP Metazoan signal recognition particle RNA
GCUGGGUGUGGUGGUGCAUGCCUGUAGUCCCAGCUACUCAGGGGGCUAAGGCAGGAGGAUCACUUAAGCCCAGGAGUCUGAGGCUGCAGUGAGCAGUGAUUGCACCACUGUACUCCAGGCUGGGCAAUAGAGUGAGACUCUGUCUUUU